rnacentral:rRNA from 1 species
AUUGAACGCUGGCGGCAUGCCUAACACAUGCAAGUCGAACGAGACCUUCGGGUCUAGUGGCGCACGGGUGCGUAACGCGUGGGAAUCUGCCCUUGGGUUCGGAAUAACAGUGAGAAAUUACUGCUAAUACCGAAUGAUGACGUAAGUCCAAAGAUUUAUCGCCCAGGGAUGAGCCCGCGUAGGAUUAGCUAGUUGGUGAGGUAAAAGCUCACCAAGGCGACGAUCCUUAGCGGUCUGAGAGGAUGAUCAGCCACACUGGGACUGAGACACGGCCCAGACUCCUACGGGAGGCAGCAGUGGGGAAUAUUGGACAAUGGGCGAAAGCCUGAUCCAGCAAUGCCGCGUGAGUGAUGAAGGCCUUAGGGUUGUAAAGCUCUUUUACCCGGGAUGAUAAUGACAGUACCGGGAGAAU